rnacentral:ncRNA from 1 species
GCCGGACCCGGCGAGCGGGUUCCCGGACGAGGGAGCCGUACCCGGAAGCGCGACAAGACGGCCACGAA